UUUAACAAUGAGUUUUAGAGUAGACAAAUAUUCAAAUUAUGGUAAAUAUUAAUAGGGGAUAUUAGUCUGAGGUGUUUUAUUCUUGUAGUAUCUUAGCUUUGUCUGUUACAACAGAAUGUCUGAGACCAGAUAAUUUUAAAAGAAUAGAAAUUUAUUUCCUUACAGUUCUGGAGGCUGAGAAAUCCACAAUUAAUAUGUCAGCACCUGGUGAGGGUCUUCUUGCUGCAUCAGCAUAUAGUAGAAGGGCAAAGAGAGGAUUAAGAGGGAUCAAUCUCACCCUUUCAAGGUCAUUAGUCACCUCUUAAAGGUUUUGGCUCUUAAUACUGUUAUUGUGCUAUCUUUUUGUCACUGUAACAAAAUAUCUGAGAAGAACAUGUUAAAAGAGGAAAGAUUUAUUUUGGCUCAUACUUGUAGAGGUUUCAGUUCAUGGUCAGUUGGCUCCACUGUUUAAGGUCUAUGAUAAGGCAAUAUAUCAUGGUGGAAGAGUGUGGUAGAAAAAAGCUGCUCAUCUCAUGAUGCUGGGAAGCAGAGAACAGAAGGAGCUGGGGAGAAGAUACAGUCCCCAAAGACAUGCCCUCAAGGACCCACUCCUUUCACCUAGAUCCUACUUUCUACAUUUCCCACCACCACCCAAUAGUACACUCAGUCAUGACUCUCUUUUCUGAAUCUCCACAGGUCAACUGACUUACCUUCCUUUCCUUCCAUCAAAUGAUUAAUCCACUGAUGAGUUUUCGGCAGACACAACGUCUUUGUUUGUAUGUGGUGCUGAGGAUCGAACCCAGGCUGGACACAUGCCAGGCGAGCUUUUUUUGGGACUAUACCUAAGACCACUACCUUGACUUUACUAUAAAAGAACAGACAGCAUACUUUCUUCCUUCAUUCACUAUUGAGUACAUGACAAACAUCAAUUUAAAUUUUUUUCCCUUUUUCUUUAUUUGGGAUAUAUGCUUAAUGUGUAAAUCUUCUUUCAUGGUAUGAUAAGGGAUUAAAUUACUAGCUGCUUACCACAUUGGCCAGUACAAGAAAAAUAGGAGUUAAAAGACAAAUUUCUUUUUCUUCCUUAACCUAACAAUAUCUCAAUGUUCUAUUUUCCUAAUCCUACAUUUCUAAAACUUUUCUAGGACACAUGUAGAAUUGCUUCUUAACCCAAUUGUAAAACAAAACAAUAAAGGCUGUUUUUUUUGU